rnacentral:rRNA from 1 species
AUUGAACGCUGGCGGCAGGCCUAACACAUGCAAGUCGAGCGGAGCGGCGGACGGGCGAGUAAUGCCUAUGUCUCUGCCUGGGCGUGGGGGAUAACGUCCGGAAACGGGCGCUAAUUCCUCAUCCUAUCAGAUGAGCAUAGGGCGGAUUAGCUAGUUGGUGGGGUAAAGGCCUACCAAGGCGACGAUCCGUAGCUGGUCUGAGAGGAUGAUCAGUCACACUGGAACUGAGAAACGGUCCAGACUCCUACGGGAGGCAGCAGUGGGGAAUAUUGGACAAUGGGCGAAAGCCUGAUGCAGCCAUGCCGCGUGUGUGAAGAAGGUCUUCGGAUUGUAAAGUACUUUAAGUUGGGAGGCGUUACCAACAGAAUAAGCACCGGCUAACUCCGUGCCAGCAGCCGCGGUAAUUC